GGUACUCUGGCCGAGCGGUUAAGGCGCCAGGUCGAGGUCCUGGUCUCUUCGGAGGCGCGAGUUCGAAUCUCGCGGGUAUCA
rfam:Lachancea thermotolerans CBS 6340 chromosome G complete sequence.